rnacentral:misc_RNA from 1 species
ACACAAAGUCCUGGGUAAAAUAGUUAUAUUUUUACUAUACAAUACAAUUCCGACAUCAUCUAAGUAUGAACGUGUUCACAUCGUCUGUGGGUUCUGUGGAAUUUGAUCAUCCCCUGCUUUUGGAGAAUGAUCUGACCAGUUUGAGCAUCAACUGUGACGAUGUCCAUUGUUCUUCAAGAGCCUUAUGUUAUAUAUAUGACAUCCAUUCAUCUAGGCACCCCUCCAUUGAUGAGCAUCAGUUUCUGAGGCUUCUUCAUGGCCCUGAUGAUGCUGUCACUCUAGGCUCCUUCUUGAAAACUCUGAUCUGGAUUCUGUCCCAUGAUAAGAAUCUCCCAGAAGAGUACAGACUUCCUACCAUAAUGAUGUCAUCCUCUUAUGUGAAAUUCUUCACUGAAGUGAAGCCUAGACCCCCAUCAACAAAUUGCUGGACAUGCAGAAUGUCCAAAGACAAUUUGCCCUUUACCGUUCCUAGUGUCAAGGGAUUUCCCCCAGAUGCAGAGCUCUACAUUGUGCCAAUAUCUGACCAUGAUGGAAAGCCUGUCAAAUUUGACAAUAGGAAGACUCUAUAUAGAUCACCUAGUAAGAAAAGGCAUAAGUAUGUCAUUUCUUCUGAUAAACCACCUCUUAGUGCACGUUAUGUCAAGUACGUAGAUUCUAGUGCACUAGAAUCCUUACCAGGCAGCUCUCCAGCUGUGCUGUAGAAAUAAAAGGAAAAAGAAAAAAAGAAAAGAAAACAAAUAAUCAAAAAAACACAAAAAAAUCUUAAAAAUGAAAAACAAAAAAACUUUAAAACUAAAAAAACUAAAAAACAUCAUGAUCUAAAAAAACCUGCACACCACUGGUUGUCUAGUGGGCUCUAGUUGGUAGAGAAAGCUAUGCUUUUGCCUAAAGCCAUGAUUGGCCAAUCCUUAAAAUGUGCUAAGCACAUUAUCCGAAGAUGUCUCGGAUGUUUUUUUACCUAACCUAAUUUUUUUGUAUUUUUAUAUAAUCUUUUGAUUUUUUUGUAUUUUAUAUACAUAUUUUUAAUUUUUUUGAUUUUUUUUGAUUUUUUUGAUUUUUUUGAUUUUUUUGUUUUUAAUAUGUUUUCUUCUAAUUACUACAGUAAUAUAUUUAAUUAUACAUGUACUUAAAAUAUAUAGUAUAUAUUAUAAAAUAGAGCAAUAUAAUAAAGCUAGUAUUACUAUAUUACAAACAUACAACUAAAUAUUUAGAUAGACUUAUCAAACUAAAGACUCUACUGGAGAGUGAGCAAUAAUAAUGGCAAUACAUCACACACAAAGCCCAAAACCACACAGACAAAGUAACUCAUAGAAUAUGAUUAAAAACUAAAAUAUACAUAUUAAAUAUACAUAUUAACUUACACUUAAAGAGACAACACACUGUUUGAAGACAUGCGUCUUCCAGGGAGAUAUGAGAUCCCCCACAACUACUGAUUUGUUCAGUCUAGUCAUCUGCACCUUCUGCCUCAUCCUCGAAGAACUCCUUCACCAGCCCGCUGACUUCUGUUGCUGUCUUUGAAGUGUUCUCAGCAAGGAUCUUCAUCAGCUUGCUCUGUUGAGCCAAGUACAGCCUUGUCUGGUUCCCAUAAGUGCUGAUCGUAUUGACAGACAUACCAGCCAGCGCAUCGAAGAUAGUAGUCUUCACUUUCCCAUUGGUGAUGAAUUCAUCUAAGACCUUCUUCCUGCCUUCUUCCUUCUUCUUGUCAGACAGGUUCUUUGACUUGCAUGUGAUGACCAGGAGACCAGUUGUGUACUUCAUCAUGUCUAUGUCCUUCGUCAGACCACGCUCCUUCUUCUUACCCUCUGGCAUGGUCUUUUUAGUUAUUUGGAAGGAGUGAAUGAUGUGCACAACAAACAAAAUGUGACUUAGGGAGUGAGUUGAGCAGUAAGGAGCUGUUUCACUCUCCAGUUUGAUAUAUUGUGGAACAUAGUCCCACAGUAAGUUGUCACAUCCUGUCAGCCCCAGGUCAGAAGAGUCCACAGCCAUCUUAACACCAGAAAUUUGUCUCACAACUUCAUGUGAGACAUUUGGGAAUAGCUGAGCCAAUCUUCCAAGUGUGAUAGCAUUGGCAUUUGUUCCCACCGAGGACACUAUCCCAUACCUCGACACCAAGGUCGAAGCCUCUGUGCUUCCAGCCGCCACCUUCACUUUCUUAGUGACAUCUCUCACAAAGCCAGUGCCUCUCACAUAUCUCAUAGUGAUGCACAUAGUCAUAUCCUUGGCCAGUGUGUCACCACCUUUGUCCUUCAAUAUGCCAAUCAGAGUUGCAGCAUCGUAGCCUGCAUACUCUAUCUGACCAGCAAAGGUCACAACAUCAGCUUUAUGAGCAGUCAGGUAAGACAACGCAUCUUUGGAGAUGUCAUUGAUUGCCUUCUGCAAAUCAGCUAGAGUGGCUGGCUUGUUGGUACCCAUUCUAGCAAGAGGUACUGGAGGAAUGGUUGCGGCUUAGAUGAAAUUUGGAAUGUAAAAGCAAAAUCGAAAAUUUUAUUACCCAGACUUUGUGU